rnacentral:rRNA from 1 species
CAGCAGCCACGGUAAUACGUAGGGUGCAAGCGUUAAUCGGAAUUACUGGGCGUAAAGCGUGCGCAGGCGGUUUGUUAAGACAGAUGUGAAAUCCCCGGGCUCAACCUGGGAACUGCAUUUGUGACUGGCAAGCUAGAGUCUGGCAGAGGGGGGUGGAAUUCCGCGUGUAGCAGUGAAAUGCGUAGAUAUGCGGAGGAACACCGAUGGCGAAGGCAGCCCCCUGGGCCAACACUGACGCUCAUGCACGAAAGCGUGGGGAGCAAACAGGAUUAGAUACCCCAGUAGUCCCUGUCUCUUAUCA